GAUCAUGGCUCAGAACGAACGCUGGCGGCAUGCCUAACACAUGCAAGUCGAACGAGACCUUCGGGUCUAGUGGCGCACGGGUGCGUAACGCGUGGGAAUCUGCCCUUUGCUUCGGAAUUAACAGUUAGAAAUGACUGCUAAUACCGGAUGAUGUCUUCGGACCAAAGAUUUAUCGGCAAAGGAUGAGCCCGCGUAGGAUUAGGUAGUUGGUGGGGUAAAGGCCUACCAAGCCGGCGAUCCUUAGCUGGUCUGAGAGGAUGAUCAGCCACACUGGGACUGAGACACGGCCCAGACUCCUACGGGAGGCAGCAGUGGGGAAUAUUGGACAAUGGGCGCAAGCCUGAUCCAGCAAUGCCGCGUGAGUGAUGAAGGCCUUCGGGUCGUAAAGCUCUUUUACCAGGGAUGAUAAUGACAGUACCUGGAGAAUAAGCUCCGGCUAACUCCGUG
rnacentral:rRNA from 1 species